rnacentral:ncRNA from 2 species
GUGUACAUCAAUGUCAAGAAGAGGAGAGCGUGGCUGAGAUUAUACGGCGAAACUUGAUCUGGAUAAUACCAGCGAAAGGAUCAUGCUCUCCUCCCCC